rnacentral:rRNA from 1 species
AACGUAGGUACCGAGCGUUAUCCGGAUUUAUUGGGCGUAAAGAGCUCGUAGGCGGUUUCGUAAGUCGGAUGUGAAAACUCCAGGCUCAACUUGGAGACGCCAUUCGAUACUGCGAUGACUUGAGUCCGGUAGGGGAGUGUGGAAUUCCUGGUGUAGCGGUGAAAUGCGCAGAUAUCAGGAGGAACACCGAUGGCGAAGGCAGUGUUCUGGGCCAGUACUGACGCUGAGGCACGAAAGCGUGGGGAUCAAACAGG